rnacentral:rRNA from 1 species
AUGGCGGGGGCGGUGUCGGCGCUGUUCCUGCUCGACAUCAAGGGCCGCGUCCUCGUCUGGCGCGACUACCGCGGCGACGUCACCGCGCUCCAGGCCGAGCGCUUCUUCACCAAGCUGCUCGACAAGGAGGUCAGUGCGCCCGUCCUCUCCUCCCCCCUCCUCUCAGAUCUGUGCAGCAUCGAAUUGCGGUCUGAGCUCUGCCCUGCUUCCGCUUCCCGUGGUCAUCAGGGCGACGCGGAGGUCCACUCGCCCGUCGUCCACGACGGCGCCGGCGUCUCCUACACCUUCAUCCAGCACAACAACGUCUUCCUCCUCACCGCCGCCCGCCAGAACUGCAAUGCCGCCAGCAUCCUGCUCUUCCUCCACCGCCUCGUCGAUGUGUUCAAGCACUACUUCGAGGAGCUGGAGGAGGAAUCUCUGAGGGACAACUUCGUCGUCGUGUAUGAGUUGCUUGAUGAGAUGAUGGACUUCGGGUAUCCGCAAUACACAGAGGCGACGAUCCUGAGUGAGUUCAUUAAGACCGACGCAUACAGGAUGGAGGUCACACAGAGGCCGCCCAUGGCAGUGACGAACGCUGUGUCAUGGCGGAGCGAGGGGAUUCGAUACAAGAAGAAUGAAGUGUUCUUGGAUGUGGUUGAGAGCGUCAACAUUCUUGUCAAUAGCAAUGGGCAGAUCGUGAGGUCUGACAUCAUCGGCGCGCUGAAGAUGCGGACCUUUCUGAGUGGAAUGCCCGAGUGUAAACUUGGUUUGAAUGAUAGAGUUCUUUUGGAAGCUCAAGGCCGAGCAACUAAAGGAAAAGCAAUAGAUCUGGAUGAUAUCAAAUUUCACCAAUUUGAGAAUGAUAGGACUAUAUCAUUCGUCCCUCCAGAUGGAGCUUUUGAUCUAAUGACUUACAGACUCACCACACAGGUGAAGCCUCUGAUCUGGGUAGAAGCACAAGUUGAGAAGCAUUCAAGGAGCCGGAUAGAGAUCAUGGUGAAGGCAAGGAGCCAGUUCAAGGAAAGAAGCACCGGAACAAAUGUAGAAAUUGAAGUACCUGUGCCCUAUGAUGCCACAAACCCAAAUAUAAGGACUUCAAUGGGUUCUGCGGCAUAUGCGCCUGAGAGAGACGCAAUGGUCUGGAAAAUCAAAUCAUUUCCUGGUGGCAAGGAAUAUAUGUGUAGAGCAGAAUUUAGUCUUCCCAGCAUAACCUCGGAAGAAGCAACCCCUGAAAAGAAAGCUCCAAUACGUGUGAAAUUUGAGAUACCAUAUUUUACUGUUUCAGGCAUUCAGGUUCGUUAUCUGAAAGUCAUCGAGAAAAGUGGAUACCAGGCCCUUCCUUGGGUUAGGUACAUCACAAUGGCUGGUGAAUAUGAGCUGAGGCUUAUCUGA